GAUGAGCGCUGGCGGCGUGCUUAACACAUGCAAGUCGAACGGAAAGGCCAGUGCUUGCACUGGUACUCGAGUGGCGAACGGGUGAGUAACACGUGGGUGAUCUGCCCUGCACUUCGGGAUAAGCCUGGGAAACUGGGUCUAAUACCGGAUAGGACAAUGGUUUGGAUGCCGUUGUGGAAAGUUUUUUCGGUGUGGGAUGAGCUCGCGGCCUAUCAGCUUGUUGGUGGGGUAAUGGCCUACCAAGGCGUCGACGGGUAGCCGGCCUGAGAGGGUGUACGGCCACAUGGGGACUGAGAUACGGCCCAGACUCCUACGGGAGGCAGCAGUGGGGAAUAUUGCACAAUGGGCGCAAGCCUGAUGCAGCGACGCCGCGUGGGGGAUGACGGCCUUCGGGUUGUAAACUCCUUUCGCUAGGGACGAAGCGUAUUUGUGACGGUACCUGGAGAAGAAGCACCGGCUAACUACGUG
rnacentral:rRNA from 1 species